rnacentral:misc_RNA from 1 species
UGCUGCAACUGCUAAUUAGCAUGUCAAGGCUAGUUAGAAAAUCUCCAGUGAUUCCAUCAAGAAGCCAUGCUUGGCUUCUUUUUGCAGGAGAUCAGGUGUUGUCGUAUGCAAUGAUUAGUGCUGGGGCUGCUGCAUCAGGAGUCUCCAACCUGAACCGCACUGGAAUCCAACAUACGCCUUUACCAAAUUUCUGCAAGCCUCUUCACUACUUCUGUGACCACGUUGCCAUCUCUAUAGCCUUCACUUUCUUCAGCUGCUUCUUGCUUGCUGCAUUGGCCAUUCAGGAGGUUAUGUGGCUCUCCAAGUCAAAGUAUUGAAGUUCCUUUGCGUCCCAUAGUCUGCACUCCCAUAUCAGCAUGAUCUACUUGUAGCAAAUAUAUGUAUCCUCUUAUUAGUUCCACUGAUCUACUUUCUUUUGGACAAUUUUGUAAUUUAUCAUGUUUAAGUUGACUUUGUAAAGAAGAGGAUGGGGCAUAUCUGAUAAUGACACCAUGUCCUAAUUCAGUGAUUAUGACCAGAUUGUUGAAAGCCUUGUCCUAAUGGCUUUGGGAUGGCCAUUGUUUCUAGCAAGGCUAUGAAUUAG